rnacentral:rRNA from 1 species
GAUGAACGCUGGCGGCGUGCCUAAUACAUGCAAGUCGAGCGAACGGACGAGAAGCUUGCUUCUCUGAUGUUAGCGGCGGACGGGUGAGUAACACGUGGAUAACCUACCUAUAAGACUGGGAUAACUUCGGGAAACCGGAGCUAAUACCGGAUAAUAUUUUGAACCGCAUGGUUCAAAAGUGAAAGACGGUCUUGCUGUCACUUAUAGAUGGAUCCGCGCUGCAUUAGCUAGUUGGUAAGGUAACGGCUUACCAAGGCAACGAUGCAUAGCCGACCUGAGAGGGUGAUCGGCCACAAUGGAACUGAGACACGGUCCAGACUCCUACGGGAGGCAGCAGUAGGGAAUCUUCCGCAAGGGGCGAAAGCCUGACGGAGCAACGCCGCGUGAGUGAUGAAGGUCUUCGGAUCGUAAAACUCUGUUAUUAGGGAAGAACAAAUGUGUAAGUAACUGUGCACGUCUUGACGGUACCUAAUCAGAAAGCCACGGCUAACUACGUG